ACUUUCCCCCAGCCGCCCCCCCCCCUUUUUUCCCCUCCUUCUUUCUCCAAGGCUGCACUUUGGAAGAGGCGCAGUCAUUCUCCCCCCUUUCCCCCUCCCCACCUCUCCGCCCCCCCCAGCUAUAAAUCUCCCCCCCCCCCCGCCCCCCAGCAUGCUGCCUUUUUUUUUUUAAUCCACAUUUGUGUUUCAGAUCAUGUAGAAAGGACAGAAAGUGAGCAGGGAGCGAGGGCUUUUGUCUAUUGUUCUUCUUGUGCUACUUGAGCGAAACUGCGGUCUCAAGACUUAACAGUCUAAAAAUGUGGGAGUUUUGAGUCAUCGGAUGGGGAGGAAUAAAGAGCAGCUGUAGUAUCAUGCUUCUGAAAAUGCAGAGCUAGAGAAGCAUAUGUCCAUGUGUUUAUCAGCCAAGGUUAACAAUUUGGGUUAACCAGAAACUCUUUCCAACCAGCCAAGGAGAUGGAGGAUUUCCUAAGAUUUUUGUGUUCAUGUCUUAACUGCCUCCGUGACAACUGCACAAUGUAAUUAAAGGCACAUCAGUCAUGUUUGACAGUACAAAUAUUGUUAACACAAACGCAGAAUAUAUGGUAUAUCUGACGAUUUAAAUGAUUUGUCUUUGUCGUCAUUACUGAUUUGAUAAACCCCAAAUUGGACAUGAAAUUUGAGUAGUAAAAUAAAGGAGUUAUUCAAAAACCA